rnacentral:rRNA from 1 species
AACGUACGCUGGCGGCACGCCUAACACAUGCAAGUCGAACGAAGUAGCAAUACUUAGUGGCAGACGGGUGAGUAACAUGUGGGUAUCUGCCCUUUGGCCUGGAAUAACACGAGGAAACUCGUGCUAAUACCGGAUAAGUCUUUACGGAGAAAGCUUUAUGCACCAUCGGAUGAGCCCGCACUUGAUUAGUUUGUUGGUGGGGUAAUGGCCUACCAAGACUGUGAUCAAUAGCUGAUUUGAGAGGAUGAUCAGCCACAUUGGGACUGAGACACGGCCCAAACUCCUACGGGAGGCAGCAGUGGGGAAUCUUGCACAAUGGAGGAAACUCUGAUGCAGCGAUGCCGCGUGAGUGAAGAAGGCCCUUGGGUUGUAAAGCUCUUUCGUCGGGGAAGAAAAUGACUGUACCCGAAUAAGAAGGUCCGGCUAACUUCGUGCCAGCAGCCGCGGUAAUACGAAGGGACCUAGCGUAGUUCGGAAUUACUGGGCUUAAAGAGUUCGUAGGUGGUUGAAAAAGUUAGUGGUGAAAUCCCAGAGCUUAACUCUGGAACUGCCAUUAAAACUUUUCAGCUAGAGUAUGAUAGAGGAAAGCAGAAUUUCUAGUGUAGAGGUGAAAUUCGUAGAUAUUAGAAAGAAUACCAAUUGCGAAGGCAGCUUUCUGGAUCAUUACUGACACUGAGGAACGAAAGCAUGGGUAGCGAAGAGGAUUAGAUACCCUCGUAGUCCAUGCCGUAAACGAUGUGUGUUAGACGUUGGAAAUUUAUUUUCAGUGUCGCAGCGAAAGCGAUAAACACACCGCCUGGGGAGUACGACCGCAAGGUUAAAACUCAAAUGAAUUGACGGGGACCCGCACAAGUAGUGGAGCAUGUGGUUUAAUUCGAAGAUACGCGCAGAACCUUACCAACACUUGACAUGUUCGUCGCGACUCUAAGAGAUUAGAGUCUUCGGUUCGGCCGGACGAAACACAGGUGCUGCAUGGCUGUCGUCAGCUCGUGUCGUGAGAUGUUGGGUUAAGUCCCGCAACGAGCGCAACCCUCACUUUUAGUUGCCAUCAUUAAGUUGGGCACUCUGAAAGAACUGCCAGUGAUAAGCUGGAGGAAGGUGGGGAUGACGUCAAGUCCUCAUGGCCCUUACGUGUUGGGCUACACACGUGCUACAAUGGUAUCUACAACAGGAAGCAAGACUGCGAGGUCAAGCAAAUCCUUAAAAGAUACCUCAGUUCGGAUUGCACUCUGCAACUCGAGUGCAUGAAGCUGGAAUUACUAGUAAUCGUGGAUCAGCGUGCCACGGUGAAUGCGUUCCCGGGUCU